rnacentral:rRNA from 1 species
CCUACGGGAGGCAGCAGUGAGGAAUAUUGGUCAAUGGACGGAAGUCUGAACCAGCCAUGCCGCGUGCAGGAAGACGGCUCUAUGAGUUGUAAACUGCUUUUGUACAAGGGUAAACCUGAAUACGUGUAUUCAGCUGAAAGUACUGUACGAAUAAGGAUCGGCUAACUCCGUGCCAGCAGCCGCGGUAAUACGGAGGAUGCAAGCGUUAUCCGGAUUUAUUGGGUUUAAAGGGUGCGUAGGCGGAUUGAUAAGUUAGAGGUGAAAUGUCCGGGCUUAACUCGGGAACUGCCUGUAAUACUGAGGAUCUAGAGAGUAGAUGCGGUAGGCGGAAUGUAUGGUGUAGCGGUGAAAUGCUUAGAGAUCAUACAGAACACCGAUUGCGAAGGCAGCUUACCAAUCUAUAUCUGACGUUGAGGCACGAAAGCGUGGGGAGCAAACAGGAUUAGAUACCCGUGUAGUC